GACGAACGCUGGCGGCGUGCUUAACACAUGCAAGUCGAACGGUGAAGCUCCAGCUUGCUGGAGUGGAUCAGUGGCGAACGGGUGAGUAACACGUGAGCAACCUGCCCCUGACUCUGGAAUAAGCGCUGGAAACGGCGUCUAAUACUGGAUACGAGAAGGGUCCGCAUGGGCACUUUCUGGAAAGUUUUUCGGUUGGGGAUGGGCUCGCGGCCUAUCAGCUUGUUGGUGAGGUAAUGGCUCACCAAGGCGACGACGGGUAGCCGGCCUGAGAGGGCGACCGGCCACACUGGGACUGAGACACGGCCCAGACUCCUACGGGAGGCAGCAGUGGGGAAUAUUGCACAAUGGGCGAAAGCCUGAUGCAGCGACGCCGCGUGAGGGAUGACGGCCUUCGGGUUGUAAACCUCUUUCAGCAGGGAAGAAGCGAAAGUGACGGUGCCUGCAGAAGAAGCACCGGCUAACUACGUG
rnacentral:rRNA from 1 species